AAUUACCAUUUACAGCGAAAAUACUCUAAGUGACUUGAGUGAAAAUACUUAUCGAACAGUGAUUUCUACUUUUGACCAUCACUGCUUUGUGUGUUUCAUCUCUAGUUUGUGGUGUACAUUAAGUGACGCAAAAAAAGUGAUGCAAAAAUGCCUAAAGUGCUUUAUACGCAAAAGUUUCGCGAUGCUUGGAUGCAGGCUAGUGAGUUCAAGGCCUGGAUCUGGAAGGAUGAGGCGGAUUUGUCAAAAGCGUGUGUUCAGUCAAAUGAACAUAGUAAAAAGUAACCUCAGAAACAGGUUACAUAUAAAAACACUAAAUUCAAUUUUAAAAAUAAGAUACGGCCUGCGCAGAAAUGGAAAAUGCUGCCACGAUUAUGAAGUGCCAACGAAAUUUUUAAAAAUGAUGGCCGAAAAUGAAAAAUAUAACAAUGAAAACAGUGAAGAUGUAGAUUUAAUAAAAUCAUUAUUGGACAUUUAAA